GGAAAGCAGAGGCCAGGGACUGCUGUUCUGAAGCACUUCCUCCCCAGGCCCAGCACGAUUCCUUGGCUUCUCCCCGACUGCAGUCUUUGAGAACUGAAGAUGAAAUCGUCCAACCAAGCACCUCAGUAAUGUGCCAAAGUAUGAGGGUGACUUCACACCUCAGCUGAUUCACAUCUGCAAGGAGAGAAAACAAUUGGCAACUGAAUCCAGGCUCACAAAUUCCCCCGGCUUGUCAGCCCUCCCGGGGACUGCGGUGCAGACCCUGAACUGCCGAGAGAGAAGUAGAGCCCAGCUCAGGACCCAACAGAUGAGCCAUACAUAAACUGUGUGAUGAAAGCCUCAAGUUGGUGAAGAAAAA